CAUGCAGUCGAGCGGAUGAGAGAGCUUGCUCUCUGAUUCAGCGGCGGACGGGUGAGUAAUGCCUAGGAAUCUGCCUGGUAGUGGGGGACAACGUUUCGAAAGGAACGCUAAUACCGCAUACGUCCUACGGGAGAAAGCAGGGGACCUUCGGGCCUUGCGCUAUCAGAUGAGCCUAGGUCGGAUUAGCUAGUUGGUGAGGUAAUGGCUCACCAAGGCGACGAUCCGUAACUGGUCUGAGAGGAUGAUCAGUCACACUGGAACUGAGACACGGUCCAGACUCCUACGGGAGCAGCAGUGGGAAUAUUGGACAUGGCGAAAGCUGAUCCGCCCUGCCGCGUGUGUGAAGAAGGCUUCGGAUUGUAAGCCUUUAGUUGGGAGGAAGGGCUUAACCUAAACGUUAGGGUUUGACUUUCCGACAAAUAACCCCGGUAAUUUGGGCC
rnacentral:rRNA from 1 species